GUACGCCUGGCAGACCCCCAGGUGUGUUACUCACGAGCUGUCUGGCCAAUCCAUCUCGAUGGCUUUGAGAAACAGCCCAGCACAUCUCAUGGUGCUUCAAGCAAUGCAUGAUGUGUGCAGGGCAGGCUGGCUGGCUGCAGGGAUGCGAGGUCUCUGUGUCCAUUCUCUGAGAGCCCCGUGCUGCACGCAGGGAGUGGAGCCUCUUCUUCCUCCUUGUUGCUCUGCUGGAGGUCUAUGUAGCCAUCAAUAAUUCAGGUGCCUGCAGCUAGCAGCAGGUUGAUGCCCAGCUAAUGGGCACUGGGCUCACUGACUGUGUCCCGCUUGCACUUUGCAGCACAUGCUCCCACCCAGCAGCACUUUGGCUCACUACCCUGCAGCUGCAGGCUCAGCUCUGCAGGAACUUCAAUGCAAAACAAGGAGGAAGAAGGCUGUGCUCGCUGCAGUCAUCAGAACCCAAAAGCAUCGUCGUCUCUGCAGGCUUGAUUUAAGCUGAAAAUCCAGACCUAUUUCCUGGGUACAAAUCAUUCGAGUGAGAUGAAACAAUCAAUGGAAGAUAUCAUCUGUGAUUCACCUCCUCAGCCAAAACCAUCUCGUUGGUUUGAGAGACUUAUUGUUGGAUUUGAAUACUGCUUUCCAGGAGUGGGAAUAAAGCUGAGCAAAAUGCAGCUAAUACCCCAGCAGCAAAGCAAGAGAUGAGACAUUCAGGAAGGCAGAAAUGUGCCAAUUUGGGUCAGGUGCUGAAGCUCAGCAUCUCCAGGACCUGCAGUGUUAUGUGAUGCUACGCUUUGGGUAGUGACAGCCCCAGUGCUGCCCUGCUAUGGGCUGGGGAACCCGGGCACCGCUCCCAAGGGCUCUGGUGCCCUUGCACGCAA